GCAAGUCGAACGGACUAGUUUACUAGUUAGUGGCGAACGGGUGAGGAACAAGUAGGUAAUCUACCCUAGACACGAGGAUAACACCGGGAAACUGGAGCUAAUACUGGAUAGGAUAUAACGUCAUAAUACGAUAUAUUUAAAGUAGCUUUCGGGCUACGGUGUAGGAAGGACCUGCGUCGCAUUAGAUAGUUGGUGAGGGUAACGGCCCACCAAGUCAACGAUGCGUAGCUGGGCUGAGAGGCCGAAC
rnacentral:rRNA from 1 species